GUGAAUCAUCGAAUCUUUGAACGCAUAUUGCACUCCCUGGUAUUCCGGAGAGUAUGCCUGUUUGAGGGUAAUUAAUAAGAAUCUUUAACCAAUUUUUUUUGGUCAUAGGAAUUGAGUUUUCCGCGUUUCUAGCGGUAGCUUGAAAUAAAUGGUCAAGUUUCAUUUUAGUCGAGAGGAGUAUUAAU
rnacentral:misc_RNA from 1 species